CUAGAGAAAGAGGGUCCACACCUCCUUAAUGAA
rnacentral:tRNA from 1 species